rnacentral:rRNA from 1 species
AUGCAAGUCGGACGGCAGCACAGAGAAGCUUGCUUCUUGGGUGGCGAGUGGCGAACGGGUGAGUAAUAUAUCGGAACGUACCGAGUAAUGGGGGAUAACUAAUCGAAAGAUUAGCUAAUACCGCAUAUUCUCUGAGGAGGAAAGCAGGGGACCUUCGGGCCUUGCGUUAUUCGAGCGGCCGAUAUCUGAUUAGCUAGUUGGUGGGGUAAGGGCCUACCAAGGCGACGAUCAGUAGCGGGUCUGAGAGGAUGAUCCGCCACACUGGGACUGAGACACGGCCCAGACUCCUACGGGAGGCAGCAGUGGGGAAUUUUGGACAAUGGGCGCAAGCCUGAUCCAGCCAUGCCGCGUGUCUGAAGAAGGCCUUCGGGUUGUAAAGGACUUUUGUCAGGGAAGAAAAGGCUGUUGCUAAUACCGACAGCUGAUGACGGUACCUGAAGAAUAAGCACCGGCUAACUACGUGCCAGCAGCCGCGGUAAUACGUAGGGUGCGAGCGUUAAUCGGAAUUACUGGGCGUAAAGCGAGCGCAGACGGUUACUUAAGCAGGAUGUGAAAUCCCCGGGCUCAACCUGGGAACUGCGUUCUGAACUGGGUGACUAGAGUGUGUCAGAGGGAGGUAGAAUUCCACGUGUAGCAGUGAAAUGCGUAGAGAUGUGGAGGAAUACCGAUGGCGAAGGCAGCCUCCUGGGAUAACACUGACGUUCAUGCUCGAAAGCGUGGGUAGCAAACAGGAUUAGAUACCCUGGUAGUCCACGCCCUAAACGAUGUCAAUUAGCUGUUGGGCAACUUGAUUGCUUAGUAGCGUAGCUAACGCGUG